rnacentral:lncRNA from 1 species
AAGACAGAGGGAAGCGCUUCCUCUUGCAUAUCGGACAGGGGAAGCCAGAGAUCAGCAGGCUCUGGCGUGUGGUCUGCAGGCACAGCAAAGGUAUUCCAUCGAAGGACACCUCCACUGCCUAUUUUGCCGCUUCUUGUUUCACUCGUAAAGAAAUUUCAUUGUCCUGCUUCCAGGAAGCCUGGGCUGCAUAUGUGCACAAAAAUCUGGCGCCAGUGCUGGCCUCGGCUUUUGCGAUCAACAGUGGGACUGAGCUCCCAGGCGAGGGGGAUGCAGCCGCGCUGCUGAACCUGACUCUCGAGCAGGCUCAGCUUUUUCAGCACAGCGCAGAUGGCGCCCAGCAGACUGACAACAGCAGGAGGCAGGCAAAGACAGCCUCUGAGGCAGGUUUUCUCGCCCCAGAACCUGCUGAGAAUGGAAAAGAGGUAGCGGCAGAGGAGCGCAGCUCAGCCACAUAUGACGAGGCACUGUGGGCGGCCCUGGCAGCUGCAGCAACCCGAAGCACCAAAGGCACCGCAAGGGCAGCAGUGAAAGUGCAGGAGGCAAGCAAUGGCGGCUGCCAGGUCACCAACCCUGACGGGGCAGCCUUGCGCCAAGGAAGCCCGUCGCUCUCGGGGGGUUCCAGCGACGCGGAUGUAGUGGACAGCUGGACAUCCUUUCCGAGCAGGCAGGCGCCACUGUCAGAGCCGUCCUCCUUCAACGGCACGUUCAG